AACGAACGCUGGCGGCGUGCCUAACACAUGCAAGUCGAGCGAGAAAGCCCGCAAGGGUGAGUAAAGCGGCGCACGGGUGCGUAACACGUGGGUAAUCUGCCCUGAAGUCCGGAAUAACUCGCCGAAAGGCGUGCUAAUGCCGGAUAAGACCACGGGAGCUUCGGCUCCUGCGGGAAAAGGUGGCCUCUGUAUACAAGCUAUCACUUCAGGAUGAGCCCGCGGCCCAUCAGCUCGUUGGCGGGGUAAUGGCCCACCAAGGCUACGACGGGUAGCUGGUCUGAGAGGACGAUCAGCCACACUGGAACUGAGACACGGUCCAGACUCCUACGGGAGGCAGCAGUGGGGAAUCUUGCGCAAUGGGCGAAAGCCUGACGCAGCAACGCCGCGUGUGUGAUGAAGGUCUUCGGAUCGUAAAGCACUGUCGCGAGGGACGAAUAAGGGGCGGGUUAACAUCCCGUUCCGAUGACGGUACCUCGAGAGGAAGCACCGGCUAACUCUGUGCCAGCAGCCGCGGUAAUACAGAGGGUGCAAGCGUUGUUCGGAAUUAUUGGGCGUAAAGCGCGUGUAGGCGGCUUUGUAAGUUGGGUGUGAAAGCCCUCGGCUUAACCGAGGAAGUGCGCCCAAAACUGCAUGGCUUGAGUACCGGAGAGGGUGGCGGAAUUCCCGGUGUAGAGGUGAAAUUCGUAGAUAUCGGGAGGAACA
rnacentral:rRNA from 1 species